AACGAACGCUGGCGGCGUGGUUUAGGCAUGCAAGUCGAGCGCUGAAACCCUUCGGGGUCGAGGCGCGGCGAAAGGGUGAGUAACGCUUGAGCAAGUUGCCUCUAGGACCGGGAUAGCCUCGGGAAACUGAGGGUAAUACCGGAUGGUCUCGCGAAGCCUGCGGGCUAUGCGAGUAAAGGUGGGGAUCUUCGGACCUGCCGCCGAGAGAGACGCUCGGGUCCUACCAGCUAGUUGGUGAGGUAACGGCUCACCAAGGCGAAGACGGGUAGCCGGGCUGAGAGGUCGUCCGGCCACACUGGCACUGAGACACUGGCCAGACUCCUACGGGAGGCUGCAGUCGAGGAAUCUUCCGCAAUGGGCGAAAGCCUGACGGAGCGACGCCGCGUGGAGGAAGAAGGCC
rnacentral:rRNA from 1 species